UAAACGACUCUCGGCAACGGAUAUCUCGGCUCUCGCAUCGAUGAAGAACGUAGCGAAAUGCGAUACUUGGUGUGAAUUGCAGAAUCCCGUGAACCAUCGAGUCUUUGAACGCAAGUUGCGCCCGAAGCCUUCAAGCUAAGGGCACGUCUGCCUGGGCGUCACGC
rnacentral:rRNA from 2 species